UACGUAGGGGGCGAGCGUUGUCCGGAAUCAUUGGGCGUAAAGAGCUCGUAGGUGGUUCAGCAAGUCGGCUGUGAAAUUCCGAGGCUCAACCUCGGAACUGCAGUCGAUACUGCUGUGACUCGAGUCCGGUAGAGGAGAAUGGAAUUCCCGGUGUAGCGGUGAAAUGCGCAGAUAUCGGGAGGAACACCAGUAGCGAAGGCGGUUCUCUGGGCCGGUACUGACGCUGAGGAGCGAAAGCGUGGGGAGCAAACAGG
rnacentral:rRNA from 1 species